rnacentral:rRNA from 1 species
AUCUGCGAAAAGCGUCGGUAAGGUGAUAUGAACCGUUACAGCCGGCGAUGUCCGAAUGGGGAAACCCAGUGUGAUUCGUCACACUAUCGUUAACUGAAUACAUAGGUUAACGAGGCGAACCGGGGGAACUGAAACAUCUAAGUACCCCGAGGAAAAGAAAUCAACCGAGAUUCCCCCAGUAGCGGCGAGCGAACGGGGAGCAGCCCAGAGUCUGAAUCAGCUUGUGUGUUAGUGGAACGGUCUGGAAAGUCCGACGGUACAGGGUGAUAGUCCCGUACACCAAAAUGCACAGGUUGUGAACUCGAAGAGUAGGGCGGGUCACGUGGUAUCCUGUCUGAAUAUGGGGGGACCAUCCUCCAAGGCUAUAUACUCCUGACUUACCGAUAGUGAACCAGUACCGUGAGGGAAAGGCGA